rnacentral:lncRNA from 1 species
GUCUAAUAUUUGAUUAUCAAAACUAAAAAAGAAUUAAAAGAAAUCAUAUAACUCAUAAGAAUGCAACUCAAACAUUAGGAGUUAAAGAGUUUAACUUUAGUGGCCAUAUUUUUCAUUCACAUAUUUUUACGAGCUUGCUUCAGCUAAACGGCCAUGUUUUCUAAUUUAGAAAUUUGAUCGCUGGACCUGGAUAUGAUCUUAUAAUUAUUUACUUUUUUCAAAAUUUGAAUAUGGGUAACCUAUCAAAGAAAAUUACUUCAUCAUCACUCGGCCAAACACCCAAGCGUAGGAGCAAAAAUUCCAGUGACGGAGCUGUGCAAAUUAGUUGAUGAAAAUUCUACUAGUACCGAUGAUAAGACUUUGGUAGAGUGUUUUGUCAUCAAAUAAAAUGUCAAGCAAUUUAUUCCUUUCAAAAAGUGUACGCAUGCAUUUACACUACCAACAGUAAUUACAUCAACAAUCACCACGAAAGUUAGUCAUCGAAACUUCUAUUACCAAAGUAUAGCUAUAGAAGAUUCUAUUGAAGUUUUCCUUCUGGAUAAUGUUAUUUGAUCCAAACGGUGACUUAAAACGUGACUAAAACACUUAACCCGUUUUGCCUUUGAAAGUGAAAAAUAUAUAAACAAAUUUGUAUCUAUUUCUAUCACUUUUUUCUGUCACCAUUUGGGUCAAUUAUUAGUACUAUUUUUUUUUAUGGUAACUUAAAAAUGCUUACAAUCGUAAAUCUACAGACUUCAUAAUAAAUGUAAAUGAGCAAUGUUUUU